rnacentral:rRNA from 1 species
UGUUCGUUAUUUAGGGCGCAUGGUGGAUGCCUUGGCAUGCUGAGCCGAUGAAGGACGUGAAAGGCUGCGUUAAGCCUCGGGGAGUUGUCAAUUGAGCGUUGAUCCGAGGAUGUCCGAAUGGGGAAACCUGGCACCUGUUAUGGGGUGUUACCCUUCAGUGAAUUCAUAGCUGUUGUGGGGGUUACGCGGGGAAGUGAAACAUCUCAGUACCCGUAGGAAGAGAAAAUAAUAAUGAUUCUGCUAGUAGUGGCGAACGAACGUGGAUGAGGCUAAACCGUGUGCAUGUGAUACCUGGUAGGGGUUGUGUGUGCGGUGUUGUGGGCCCUGAUGAGGAUGGCUACUGACGUCCUGCCCGCGCAUUGUUGUUAGGUGAAGUGGUGUGGAAACGCCUGCCGUAGAAGGUGAUAGUCCUGUAGCUGAAGAUGAUGGUGUGUGGGUUGUUGGGUUGCCCGAGUAGCAGCGGGCUCGUGGA